CUCAAGACGAUUUCCUAUCUAUCUCAAAACAAUUUUCCCUUCUAUUCAGGAUUUUGGCAGCCAAAGUUAUCUAGUUCCCCUCACAUUCAUGUUUUAAUCAUUUCCUCUCUCCUAUGAAGAUUUUGCGUCUAGUGCUGUGGAUUUUGAAAACCAAAUUCUCCAAUUAAGGUAUUUUUUUUAUCUCUUUUAUCUCAUCGAUAUAUUUGAUCUUGUUAACUAAUUUUGUGAUUUUAAUUAACAUGGUAUAUAAUCUUGUUUUUAUUUAAUGUUAAGUAUCAUGCGUGCCUUAUUUCUGUUGAUGUAAUUGAUUGUUUGUCUUUUAAUCAUAAUAUAAGAGUAGCAAGACAUUACACUGAAUUUUUAGAUGAUAAAUAAUAUGGGACCUAGUUAAGGGGACAUUAGGUAUGGGUAGGGGUGUUCAAAAAUAUUCGCAUCAGAAAUAUCCGAUUCGAAAAUCCGAAAAUCCGAUCCGAAAUUAUCCGAAAUUUCGGAUAUCCGAUUUUUCGGAUUCGGAUACGGAUAGUGAAUUUAUAAAGUUUCGGAUAUUUCGGAUAUCCGAUAUCCGAAAAAAUAAUUUUUCUUUAUUUUUUAAUAUUUUAUUAUGAGAAAUUGGAAACAUUGACAUGCUUAAUGGACUAAUGUUCCCCACCAUUUUCAACUUUUUCGUGACCAUUCUUUCCAAACUUUUAUUGCAAACCUUUCCAUUUACAAUCGUUAUAUAUUUGUUUAUUAUAAUCCUGGUUCGUUGACUUAUAAUAAAAAACUAUUAAGUAAAUGCUACAUAUAUUUAUUUGUUGCUAUCGAUAUCCAUCUAUGUCGCCAGAUUUAACAUAGUUGCUAUUAUUAAUUUUAAGAGUUGCGGUGAUUUUACGGAUAGAGAUGUUCAGAUGUGAAUAUUUAUUUAAAAUUAAUGAAAUUCGGAUAUCAAAAAUCAACUAUCGAAAUAUUCGGAUAUCUGAAAUUCGGAUAUCCGAAUUUUCGGAUAUCCGGUUUUGAACACCCCUAGGUAUGGGCCUUUUGUUUUUCUCAAUAACUUAGUUUGGAACUCAAAAUUGGAUAGAUUAGUAGCUUCUCCUAAUGUAGAAUAGCUAUCUUAAUAUAAGGAAUUUCAAGAAUUGCAUCUAAAUAUUUGAGUUUCUGUAGACAUUAAUUUGGUUUAGAAAGGGGCAAAAAGGGAAAUUUGCAGCAUUUCAAGGUUGAUAGAAGAUCCAAACACCAAAUAAACCCAUUUUACUCGGGUAAAAUAUUUAAAAAACAAACUCCAAUCAUGAAUAUUAUUGAAUUUUUAAAAAGACAAAUAUACCCACCCAGAAAAUGGCAACAGUAGUUGAAUACAAAACUCUCAUCUAUUUCCGCAUACUACACACACGUUGUUGGUUGUGAUACAUAUGACAACAAUACCAAAAGGAAUAAAACAACAUCAAAGCAACACUAAGGGUAACAGAGAGUGUACCUAUAUUUGCAAUACGAACCAUAGAAGUGAGUCUGACUGCCAAACUGCAAAUUUGGUUCCUGUAUUUUUUAGAAAAGGUGUGAUUUAAGUCCCUAAACAUUCAAUUUUGCAUAGAUGGUUAAACAACCUAUGUAUUUUCAGUUGUUAGGCUCUUCAAGCGCCCCUCAUAUACCUGAUUACAAAAUGAGAUAUAACAACAUACUUAUUUUGUAUGCCCACCCUAAUGAAAAGCUUAGAAUUCAUCAAAGGAAACCCUAUAGAUUCCCUAAGUUCACAAACCUAAUAUGGCUUAACCUGCAAAAAAUGGUAAUAAAAAACUACAUGAUCUAUCUUUAUUCCAUUUCAUAUAUAAUCGAUGUGAAAUUUGUCCCUGCUCCUGAAUCUCUUCUUUCAGAGCAGAAUGGAGCAAUCUCUUCUUUUAGGGUAGAAUGAAGCAAUCUCUUCUUUCAGAGCAGAGUGGUAAAGUCCUGUAAACAAUAAAUUAAGACAAUACAUGUAAAUAUCCAAAAUAUAGCAUUUCAGUAUUUCUUUUUUCAAAAAAGAACACAAUCUGAUUUGACCAAAUUCCGACACCUCUAAAUUCAAAGAAUCCUUUUUUAUCAGAAGAAACUUUGUCAAGAAGCAAAGAUCAACAGGGAAUUAUGUGUUACCAACACAAAAAAACCAUGAAGCUAUCCGGAUGGAUAAGCGACUCACUUAAUAGUAGCCUUGUCAUACAUUCAGUAUACAAAAUGUUGUAAAUUUUAUUCAACUUAGUAAGUUUGUAACAAUAUAUUCUAGAAAAGAAACAUUGGAUAAGAAAUCAACUUUAUUUUAUAAUCAACAUGUAUGACGUUAUAUUAAUCAAUGCUUUAUAAUACUUAACAAUAAUUUUAGAAACAAACUAUAAGUUGUAGCAAUCUAUUUUUCACAAAAUACCUUUUAACUUUGAAGAGCAACUCCAUAUUACAGCAGAUACAAAUGAACAACUACAUCAUGUAACGUUGGAAUAAGUUACCAUCCCGACUGAAAAACGAAGGAAAAAAUCAUAUUACAUUUAUCAAAGGAAAAAUAGAAAUAUUAGAACAUGUAAAUCUUUUAUUAUUGAAUCUUAACUCUCAGUAUGUGUAUUUAGUCAACAAUGUACUAAUGUAGGUCACAAUUGUUGUUCAAAUUCAAACAGAGGAUAAUUAAAAAAUAAUGAUCAACAUUUGAAGUGCAACUAAGUUUCACCUAAAAUCACAAAUAUAAAUGGAAGUAUGGGAUAUGUCAACUAUUUUGUUCACCUGUAGAAAUUUUCCCAUCAAUAAAAUCUAAUAAAAUCAACUUGUUUUAAGCAGUAGCACCAUACAACGGGUGUCAUGGAUGAUGCCAUCAAUAAAUUCCACUAAACUCAACGUGGCCAAGGGCUUUCCAGGUCAUGGCGAUACUAUUAUGAUCGAUUGUUUUGUCCUUAGCUGGCCACGACAUGGCCAAAAGCAUGCCACGUCAUAGAGGUCAUUGAACGUUGACCGUUGACUUUUUGGUUGGCUUAACAUUGGGUCAAACUUGAAGGAAUUGGGUUAUUGAUCAAGGUUCCACCUUGGUUUGGUGCUAGUUGGUUCGCAGGAGCGAUCAUAGUAGGGAGUGAGUGUGUUGCGGUGUAUCCAUAGGUCUUCGAUUUGGGUGAGUUUCCUCACUAUACUAUGUAUUAUAGUGUAUAUCCUUGUAUGUUAGGAUAUAUAAGUAGUGGUAUGUUGGUUAGGGUACUAGUAGGUUGGUGUUCGUUGAGUGGAGUGCCCUAGGGGUUGUAUGUAGUCAUGUAGGAUAACCUGAGAACUCUUGAUCUAGGCUUCCUUUCAUGUUCCUUGUUUGGUUGUGGCUCUAGAGUAGGAUCAGCUGUUUGGAUACCUAUCUCAUCUCUAGUUAUAUAUAGCUAUGCAUUCCUUGGAGAUUUAUCGGUAAUGAUGUAGUGUGUUGAUAAGGCCUAGUAUGCGAUAAUUAUUUGUUAGACAGGUAGACUAGUGUAGGUAGUUGUCUGUGUUAUAUGUUUACUUGAUUUCUUGUUUGUUACAUAUGUUGACAUAUUGUGGUAGGGUGGGUUGAGGUGAUGAUGCUUUGUGUUGUAGGCCAAGAUACUCGGGAAGGCCAACGGUGUACUAUAUUCUAGGGUGCGGGCCAAUUGUAUGUUGUAGGCAUGGGAGGGGGAAUAAUCGUGGACUGGAGGCUCAAGUGAGAAGUUAGGUUGAGGUGGUACUGUUUUGUGUGUUGUAGGCCAAAAACCCGGGGGCAAUCCAAUCUUAUGUAGUGGGCAUAGGGGAAAUCCAGUCUUAUGUUGUGGGCUUGGGGGCAAUCCGGUCUUAUGUUGUGGUUAUAAGGGCAAUGCAGUCUUAUGUUUUAUGUUGUGGGCCCGAUGUUCAUGUAUUGUUUGUAUAUUGUGGUGUGUGGUUUUUGGGGGAAUUCAGUAAGCUUUGGCUUAUAAUUGUGGAUUAAAUGUUUUUUAGGUACAGUUGGUGAUCAUGCAAGGUUUGACCUUGUGUUGUGGUCCAACAAACCUAGGAGCAAUCCAAUAUUAUGUUGUGGGCACGAGGGAAAUUUAGUCUUAUGUUGUGGGCCCGGGGGCAAUCCAUUCUUAUGUUGUGGGCCAAGGGGCAAUCCAGUCUUAUGUUUUAUGUUGUGGGCCAGGUGUGCAUGUAUUUUUUGUAUAUUGUGGUGUGUGGUAUUUUGGGGGAAUUCAUUAAGCUUUGACUUGUAGUUGUGGAUUAAAUGUUUUUCAGGUACCGUUGGUGAUCGUGGGAAGGGAAAGGCAUGAUUGUACACACACAUCAGCAACAAUGGAGAUUCAGUAAUAUUUAUAUUGCUCGGAUUUAAAACAACUGUAUUUUGGAACCAAUUGGUUUUAAUAACUUCC
rnacentral:lncRNA from 1 species